ACCCCAGAGGCUGGAGGUGGGGCGAGUCCUGCAGUGACUACCUUCAGCAUCCAGAGUCACUGGGGUCACAGAUGGAAGUGACAGAGUUGUCUGACACUGGAAACUUAAGGUUUUCCUUCAGCUGUGAAAUCGUGGUCUGUCUGCUCCCUGUGCAGAAAGAAAGGAAGACUCUUACCCCUGGGGACCCCAGAUAUGGAGCCUAUCUGACACUUCGAAGGAAAAAAAAGUCCCAUCUGUCUCCUGCUGGAACAUCUUCUGUGGGUCCUGGAAGGCGUGCAACCCUUCCAGAGAAAGAAGCAGCAGCCAUGGCGCUCUGUGGCUGAGACUGUCUGCUCCCUGAGCAGCUUUGCAGUAGCUGGACAUUUGGAACUUACCUGGGAGGAAGAAAGAAGAGUGUCGGAUCUGGGUCAGCUAGGUGGUCCCAGACACCUCCUUACCCUAGAUCUCUUCAGCUAAGCCUGUAGGUGACUAUCUGUGUCCAGAGCCCACAGUGUACCUCCCUGUGUCCAUUAUACCCUCACCUGUCCCCAGGGAAGGAGGAACGGGUCUUAGAAGGAAGGAAUGAUAGCAAAGCAAAGACAAAGAAAAUGGAUAACCAGAUUCGAUAAACAUGGAUUUUUGUUUUUUGUUUGUUUAAGCAUCAUGUUAGGUGACUGGAGGGACAAUAACUCCACAGAGACAGGGGACUUCCCUUGCGUUAGAGGCUGAAGGAAUGAGUGGUGAGAACUGGGAGGUGACAACAAAGGGAACUGGGGGCUCUCUUGGUGGAAUA
rnacentral:lncRNA from 1 species